rnacentral:misc_RNA from 1 species
AUUUUUCAGUGUCUUGAGGACUUCACAACAAAACAAAGCUAGCUGCAGAUGGAAGUUUGCCCAGACUGUGGAAUGUUGUUGCAAUAUGAGUUGCCUCAUAUGGACCGUCCAGCCAGAUUCUUUUGCCCUGCAUGCCCUUACGUAUGUAACUUAGAGAACCGGAUUAAGAUGAAGAGAAGGCAGCCUUUGGUUAAGAAACAAAUGGAUCCAGUGAUUUCGACAGAAGACAUGGAUAAUGCUUCGACUGCUGAAGUUCCGUGUCCUGCGUGUGGUUACAGGGAAGCAGCAUAUUAUCAAGUGCAGAUAAGGUCAGCAGAUGAACCUAUGACUACAUUUUACAAAUGCAAGAACAAGCUAUGUGGAAACAAUUGGAGAGAAGACUGAAAUGGUUUUAGGAAAGAGCAGUGUAUUCUUCAAUAGUUUCUUGGUACCAUUUCUCGGUUUCUGCGUAUCAUCCUAUCACAGGCAGAGACCAUGUUGAUCUUGUCUGUAUCGUUCCAAUUUUAUCGAAUGUCCAUAAAGGGAUCCGUG